rnacentral:rRNA from 1 species
UACGUAGGGGACCAAGCGUUGUUCGGAUUUACUGGGCGUAAAGGGGCGCGUAGGCGGCGUGGGUAAGUCAGCUGUGAAAUCUCCGAGCUUAACUCGGAACGGUCAGCUGAUACUGCUGUGCUAGAGUACAGAAGGGGCAAUCGGAAUUCUUGGUGUAGCGGUGAAAUGCGUAGAUAUCAAGAGGGAACACCUGAGGUGAAGACGGGUUGCUGGGCUGAUACUGACGCUGAAGCGCGAAAGCUAAGGGUAGCAAACGGG